GCUCAGUUGCGGGGAAGUGAGUACGUGAGGAGCGGCACAGCGGCGGGGGGAGGGGCGGGAGCGCGGGGCGCCCCCUGCGGCCGAGCCUGGCCCGGCCUCGGCCCGGCACGUGCCCGCGGGCCCACGCCGCGUGCAGACACAAGCGACACGCGAAACACACAAAACGAAACGGUUCAACACAAAAACUCACAGCAAAACGCAAAAUACAACAAAGCGGAAACAAAACCAACACGACGCACAAUCUGAAACAAAAAAAAAAUGACAACAAAACACGCAGAAACCCAUUUGAAACGAAACGCACCACACAAAACCGUUUGAAGCGAGACAAAUCGGGCACCGCUAGCAACUCUCUCCGUUCAACCUGAAGCACCGCCAGCAGAUUGGUGUCGGAGGAAGUGACGGUAACGAGCCUGUCCAUGCGGACCGCGGGGGAGGUGUCCCGGUUUACGUUCAGCCGCGACAGAGCGACACCUCCCCGCGCUCCUCGGGACGGGACGGGACGCGGCGUGCUGCACGGGAGAGGCUACGCGAUGAUACCUUCAGAUGGUGGCAAGAGAAUACAACAGCACUCCAUUAAUUACUUGAACUUGACCAGGAGAGAAAGCAAACCAGUGGCAAGUCAAGGUAAACAGCUAAACAACUGGCAGCCCACGGUGCAAUGCUGAAGCCUACUGGGAGAACAACUACAACUUAAGAACGGGCAUCCCGACUACUCACCUUGCAGACAUUGUGCUGGCACACUGUUGUGACUGGUCGAAAUACCACCUCCUGGCAGCAAAUACAUAGAAAAGCUUCUUCCACUUUAUUCAGGAAUUUCUGAAAUGGAAGAAAAUUGUCAUUCAAUUGCUACUGCCUUCCAAAUAUGCAGCAUGAUUCAAGUGACUGAAGCUUUCCAUAAGACUUCCUAGUUUACAGAAUUCAGGAAAAAAACCCAACAACCACCUUGCAGCAUGAUGUUGUGAUCACUGUUACUAAUAAAAAUCACGCUGCAGA